rnacentral:misc_RNA from 1 species
UUUUGAAGAAACCUAAUUCCGACUAGAAGAAAAUCAAAAAGCCAUAGAAAAGUUUGGUGAUUCCUGACUGUGCUUUAAUCAUAGCAAUCAUGAGAUUCAAGAAGGGUAGUAAGGUGGAGGUUUUUAGCAAAAAGGAGGUCUCUACUGGUGCUUGGCUUUGUGCUGAAGUGAUUUCUGGGAAUGGCCACACGUAUAGCGUGAAAUAUGGUUGGUUUCCAUUGAUUGACAAAGCAGUUGUGGAAAGGGUGCCUAGGAAGGCAAUUAGGCCCUGUCCACCCCCUGUGCAAGGGGUUGAUUGGGUUUCUGGUGAUCUUGUUGAGGCUUUUCAGAACCUUUCUUGGAAAACAGCAAGGAUAGUGAAGGUUAUGGGCGAGAACAACUUUUUGGUUAGAAUACUUGGAAUGUCUGAAGUUUUGCAGGUCCAUAAAUCUCAUUUAAGGGUUCGACAGUGCUGGCAAGAUGGUAAAUGGAUUGUGGUUGGAAAGGUUUUGGAGAUUUGUCGCAUGUCUAUGGGCAAAAAGAAGCCAAAUAAUCAAUAUGUUAGAGAUGAUUGUCCUGUGGAGAAAAGUAUUGUAAUUCAAAAGUCUCAUAUGGUUUCAACGAGAACAUUGAAGAGAGGAUCACCA